UCCGGUUGAUCCUGCCGGACGUACUGCUAUUGGGAUUCGACUAAGCCAUGCGAGUCAAGGUGUCUUCGGACGCCGGCAUACGGCUCAGUAACACGUAGGUAACCUACCCUCAGGACUGAGAUAACCCCGGGAAACUGGGGCUAAUAUUAGAUAGAUAAAAGAUACUGGAAUGUUCUUUUAUCCAAAGCUUUUGUGCCUGAGGAUGAGCCUGCGCCCGAUUAGGUAGUUGGUGGGGUAAUGGCCCACCAAGCCUGCGAUCGGUACGGGCAGUGGGAGCUGUAGCCCGGAGUUGGGGACUGAGACAAGGCCCCAGGCCCUACGGGGCGCACAGGCGCGAAACCUCUGCAAUGCGGGAAACCGUGACAGGGGGAUUCCAAGUGCUCAUGCAUUGCAUGGGCUGUUCUUUGGUCUAAGUAACCAGAGGAGUAAGGGCUGGGCAAGACCGGUGCCAGCCGCCGCGGUAAUACCGGCAGCUCGAGUGGUAGCCGCGAUUAUUGGGCCUAAAACGUUCGUAGCCGGAUAAGUAAGUCUUUGGUUAAAUCCUACGACUUAACCGUGGGAAAUCUAGAGAUACUGCUUGUCUUGAGACCGGGAGAGGUUGGAGGUACUCCCAGGGUAGGGGUGAAAUCCUGUAAUCCUCGAGGGACCACCUGUGGCGAAGGCGCCUCACCAGAACGGCUUCGACAGUGAGGGACGAAAGCUGGGGGAGCAAACCGGAUUAGAUACCCGGGUAGUCCCAGCCCUAAACGAUGCGCGUUAGGUGUAUCGGUGACCACGAGUCACCGAGGUGCCGAAGGGAAACCGUGAAACGUGCCGCCUGGGAAGUACGGUCGCAAGGCUGAAACUUAAAGGAAUUGGCGGGGGAGCACCACAACGGGUGGAGCUGCGGUUUAAUUGGACUCAACGCCGGGAAGCUCACCGGAUAAGACAGCGGAAUGAUUGCCGGGCUGAAGACCCUGCAUGACCAGCUGAGAGGAGGUGCAUGGCCGUCGUCAGUUCGUACUGUGAAGCAUCCUGUUAAGUCAGGCAACGAGCGAGACCCACGCCAACAGUUGCCAGCAUGGUCUCCGGACUGAUGGGGACACUGUUGGGACCGCCUCUGCUAAAGAGGAGGAAGGAAUGGGCAACGGUAGGUCAGCAUGCCCCGAAUUAUCCGGGCUACACGCGGGCUACAAUGGGCAGGACAAUGGGUAUCGACACCGAAAGGUGAAGGCAAUCUCCUAAACCUGUCCUUAGUUCGGAUUGUGGGCUGCAACUCGCCCACAUGAAGCUGGAAUCCGUAGUAAUCGCGUUUCAAAAUAACGCGGUGAAUGUGUCCCUGCUCCUUGUACACACCGCCCGUCA
rnacentral:rRNA from 1 species